AUUGAACGCUGGCGGCAGGCCUAACACAUGCAAGUCGAGCGAGCGGCGGGCGGGUGAGUAAUGUAUGGGGACUCCCCGAUCGCGGGGGAUAACUACUGGAAACGGUAGCUAAUAACGCAUACUCUCGAAUAACCCCUAUGGGAUUAGCUCGUCGUGGGGUUAAUGGCUCCCCUAGGUGACGAUCCCUAGCUGGUCUGCGAGGAUGAUCAGCCACACGGGGACUGAGACACGGCCAAGACUCCUACGGAGGCAGCAGUGGGGAAUAUUGCACAAUGGGCGCAAGCCGGAUGCAGCCAGGCCGGGUGUAGGAAGAAGGCCCUAGGGUUGUAAAGUACUUUCAGUCGGGAGGCGGUACCGACAGAAGAAGCACCGGCUAACUCCGUGCCAGCAGCCGCGGUAAUUC
rnacentral:rRNA from 1 species